rnacentral:rRNA from 1 species
AACGUAGGAGACAAACGUUAUCCGGAGUUACUGGGCGUAAAGGGCGUGUAGGUGGUGCUGUAAGUCUGGCGUGAAAUUUUUCGGCUUAACCGGGAAAGGUCGUCGGAUACUGCAGGACUAGAGGACGGUAGAGGCGUGUGGAAUUCCGGGUGUAGUGGUGAAAUGCGCAGAUAUCAGGAGGAACACCAAUGGCGAAGGCAGCUCGCUGGGACGGUACUGACGCUGAGACGCGAAAGCGUGGGGAGCAAACAGG